rnacentral:rRNA from 1 species
UACGUAGGCAGCAAGCGUUGUUCGGAGUUACUGGGCGUAAAGGGUGUGUAGGCGGUUCUUUUAAGUUUGGUGUGAAAUCUCCCCGGCUUAACCGGGAGGGUGCGCCGAAUACUGAGGGACUAGAGUACGGGAGAGGAAAGUGGAAUUCCUGGUGUAGCGGUGAAAUGCGUAGAUAUCAGGAGGAACACCGGUGGUGUAGACGGCUUUCUGGACCGUAACUGACGCUGAGACACGAAAGCGUGGGGAGCAAACAGG